rnacentral:lncRNA from 1 species
CGGCUGCAGUACCGAUCACUGAAGAAAGUGCCGGAGCUGCAACUGCAGAUGCAAGCGAGGCUGCUGCAGCCCCUGGCAUUUCUCGGAGGCAGACAAUAAGAGAUCGCGAUGACGGAUCAUGUGUGAACCAUAACCACUGCCCAAGGUAUCGGUCAGGUAGGACAAAGGAAGAUAUGGUGGCAGUGAUGCUGUGUGCAAGUUGUGUACCAGUGGAUCGUAAUUUUGUUUCCUUGUUUGUAUAGCUAGGAAGGUAGCUCCCCUCCCUUGUUCGAAGGCGAGUUCAAUGUAAAAGUCGGGAGUAUGAAAUGAAGUGACCUAUGUUUGCGCGUCAAAUCUGUUCAUCUUUGAGGCCCUGUUUGGUUUGCAG